rnacentral:rRNA from 1 species
UACGUAGGGGGCAAGCGUUGUCCGGAUUUAUUGGGCGUAAAGAGCUCGUAGGCGGUUUGGUGAGUCGGGUGUGAAAUCUCCACGCUCAACGUGGAGGGGCCACCCGAUACUGCCAUGACUAGAGUCCGGUAGGGGAGUGUGGAAUUCCCGGUGUAGCGGUGAAAUGCGCAGAUAUCGGGAGGAACACCAAUUGCGAAGGCAGCUGGCUACGCAUAUAUUGACACUGAGGCACGAAAGCGUGGGGAUCAAACAGG